rnacentral:lncRNA from 1 species
UGGGCUGAAUCUCGAGGUGUCAAAUCAUAACAAUAUUAAAUACUCCUUGCACAUCUUUUAUUAAUCACGAUAGGAAAUAAUUACAAGAGAAAAUAACCUCUAAUCUCUCACUCUUCUCUCUCUACAAUAAGAACAAGGUUCCCACUAAUACAAGAGAAAAAGAGCACACAAAGAGUUAGAACCACCCCUUAGAUGUUUUUUC